rnacentral:tRNA from 1 species
AUUUUGGUGUAUGUUGCAUAUGAAAUUUUGAUUUUCGUGGGCUUAGUUAGAUUCUAAGGGGUAUAA